rnacentral:lncRNA from 1 species
CAGAAUCCAAAAUAUUAAAAGAAAAAUCCAUGGCGCAAGUCUCGAUAUAGAAAUCAAAUUCUUAGAAAAACUUGGAACAUAAAAAGUCUUUUCUAAACGUAAAAUGAAACCGCUGCUUAAAACCAAAUUGCACGUCCCAAUGGACUCCACAUGUGAGCUCAUCUUGCCUCCUGAAUAGAUGUGCUGCUCACUUCCCACUAGCUUUCUUAGGUUUUCCAUACCCUACAAGGUAUUA